GCGGGGAUUAAAAACAGCUGUACGCGGCGGACGCGCCGGGCUGGGGGCGGGGGUGGAUUACCGGUCGAGCAAACGGGAUUUGCAGACAGAGACCUUUUUAUUUUAGACGAAGACACCAGUCGCUUCUGCGCAGCGGGAGCGCGGCUUGUCUUACUGGUUUUUAAGUCGCUUGCUCUUCCAGGUGCCACCCUUCGGGAAGCUGGGGCAGCGCGGAGGCCGCCAGCACCCUGCAGAAGUUUUGGGGAGCACGAGGUUGUCUGCCAGGAGCCGUCGGCGGGCCACGGUCGGCGCAGGCUGGGUCAACCCAUUGCAACCGCCGCCCCGCGCCGCUGGCCGCGGGGAGAGGCACCGCCCCCGCUGGGGUCUGAACCAAAGGCCCUGCAGGAGCCAGGAGAGAGCUCAGAACUGGCUCUGGCACCAGGGAAGGUCUGUCAGACCUUGGUGGUUUAGUCCCACCAGCUUCCCUCCCUAGGGAGGCUCUGCACGCGAGCCUCUAUAUAAUAAGCUUCCCAGGUACGUGCUACAUGCGCAGGUAACAGCUACACAGUAACCAGAUAUAUACCUUCCCAGAUCCUUGGGUAACUCACUGCUUACCUUGAGGGGCCCCCCUUGCUCCGGGCCUGGGCUUCCAGCAUCUUCAGUCUGUAGGCCCCAGGGUUCCCAGGCCUGGCUCAGUUGGGGAAGUCUUAUCAUUUGUUAUGGAUGGAGCCUGGAGCAUUUAUCAGUGGCUCCUUUCAGGGCCCUGCUGAGAAUGGGAAUGGGCGAGGCAGAGCUGUUAAUUACUAUUUGUUCAUGCAAACUAUCUUGCUAAAAAUAAAGGCCCCUUCUCCCUACCCCCCCCCCAAAGUGUUCAGAAAAUGUAACUUUAAAUGAUACUCUGUGGAUAAUCAAAAGAAAGAGACAUGUCUUCCCCUCAAAUGGCUGACAGUCUAGUGGGAAGCGCAAGGCAUGGAGAGGCUCGAUGAUGAUAUCAGGGAAUCCGAGAGAAAGCUGCUGAGAUGCAGGUGAGUUUUAAUCAUCCCAGCCUUUGGCAGUGAUUAAUUGCCUCAUUUACCAACUCAUAUAGGUAAGUGAUAGAGACAGGUUCUGAAUUUAAGCAAAGAUGAGACAGAUCCACGGCAGCAUGGUCGGUGAAGACUCACGGGUGAGCAGGGCCCGAGGCCCCAGCUCCAGGGUGAUGGGUGUCGCAGAACUGAAGGUAGGUAGUGAAAGGUCCACUUGGCACUCCGAAUGAGCAGGCCAAGCGUGCUUGUGGUUUGCUUUGAGUUUUCAGAUAAAGGUUGAACUUGGAGAACCAAGUAUGUCAUUAAGAUAAAAGAUGAAGUUACCCAGCUAGUCUGGUUUUUCGUUCUCAUUGUGAGAAUUUUCUGAAACCCUUUUAGCUCCUGACUCCCAUCCUCUUUACGAAGGGGUGGCUGCCCUAAAGGGUGAGACAGGAGCUUGCACGGUGUGGCACAAGCUGUCCUGAUUGGGCCCCAGAAGCUGGUAGGAGGACCUUCAGGCCUUGCUCGAAACCGAGGUUACCCCAGUUUUCCAGAAGGAACAUGCAGACAAGCUGCUGGCUUUCGAAGCGAAUCCCUGGACCUGCCUGGGAUGGAACCGUGGCAGCAUCUUUGAGCCCCGGCCUUGGGACUCACACAGAGCAUUCCGAGCAGGAAAGAGAAUGGAAGCUGAGAGAGGUGGAAGGUGGGAGCGGCAGAAGCAGGAACCAGACAGAGGCCUCCUCUCCUCCUGACUCCUCGCAGAAAACUUGCAGAGAAAGUCAGGGCAGCAGCCAGCGAGUUAAAGUGGUAUUUUGCUUGAAUCUGGCGGCACUUGGAGUCCCUGGUAAUGAAGAGCAAACACUCCAAAACUGCAUUGGCUCUGAAUCCUUACUGCUGCUGAACCUUGGAAUCUGUGACAGUGGUUUGUGCAGAUCAUGUUGAUAGAACAUCCAGACCAAGGGAUUCACGUAGAUCCAGGCUUGAUCAGGUUCCAGGAGGUUGAAGGAUUGAUUACGUUUAAAUAUAUAAUUUGCAUAAUCACCAGUGGACGUCGGGGAAGGAAUGCUGUUCAUUAGAGAAGCUCCAGCCUUGUCGUCUCACUUUUGGAGCACUCGCCCUUUAAAUCUCAAGUUUGAGAGGAAGGUCCUUACCCAUCCGUUCGAAGAUGCCUGACGAUUUGAAACCAAUAUGUAUAAACAGAUGGCGUGGCCGCCGGAGCGACAGUGAGUUGUCGGCGUGUCUGGCAGGAGAGCACAGGAAACGCAGUUGUUGACUGAGCAUAACGCUCAGGAAAUAAGGCCAAUCUGGUCACGGCAUCGAGUUUGUUUUGGUGUAACUGGAAUUUUACGGCAGCAAUACAAUGACAGCUUCCCUUAGAAGAGAAUUGAGUCAGUGUCCAAGGAAAAGCCUUUGGGUAUAAAAGUGUCUCUUAUUUCUGAAUAAAUAUUUUAAAAUAUCUGUCAUCUUUGGGAGUCAGACCUGCCGUUGUAUUUUACGGUACAGCUUCCCACUUUUAUUUGGAUUUCUUCCUAUUACGAUCAUAGCAUUUCUUUAGCUGUUUGUGUCCCCACCCGGCAGGAAGGACAGCAGUGGGCUUAUUCCAUUUUUGUUGCGCUCAGCAGCUGUUGUUGGAUUGUCAGAGUUUUUAUAGAAAGCUGGAAGGAAAAUUUGAAAAAUGUUAACAGUUGUCCUUGUGUGGUGAGAAAGUGAAUAGUUAUUUAUACUCUGCUUUUUGGCAUUUCUAAAGGAUGCACGAUUACUAUGUAUUUCUUUGAAAUUAGUUAACAAAUUUAUAAACAAAUGCUUUUCUAUCUACUGCCUGGUUUGAACCUCAACACAAGUCUCAUGAGGCAGCCAGGUGAGGAUUAGUCGUAUUUCCAGUUGGGAGAAGAUGCUAAGAACUAGAGACGUCAGCUGCCUUCUGGAGUGAUCCGCCACUACAGUGACUGAGUGUGGACCACACUCUAAACAGUUGGCUCCUGACCCCAGGUAUUUAUAGUUGGACUUUGCUAGACUCCCUAUGGAUGCUCGCCUGUGUAUACAACUAAUGAGACCAAUUCAGGGUGAUGUUGAAAAUAUUCAACAGCUAGUACAGUGAGAACACUGGCCAGGCAGGUUUGGCACUGUCGGAGGAGACCGUGAACGACCAGCCCAGGUGUGGACUUCUCUGCGCUGGAUUAAACUUUUCCAGUGGUCCUUCAGAUGUCUCUUUUUUUCUUUUUAAAUAUUUUUAUUAUUAUUAUUGAUUUUUAGAGAGAGAGGAAGGGAGAGAGAGAAACAUCGAUGUGAAUGUGGAACAUCAGUCACCUUCCUCCUACACCCCCCGACCCGGGGAUCAAGACGGAAACCCAGGCAUGUGCCCUGACCAGAAUCGAACCAGCAACCUUUCGGCGCAUGGGAUGACUCCCACCAACGGAGCCACACCGGCCAGGGCUUUUUUAUUUUCUUAAUAACUACAGAAUUAAAGACAAUUUGCUCAAAGCUGGGGUACAAUCAGCAGUAACCAUGAGAUACAACACACAAAGCCUUCCUGGGACCAAGCUCUCCCAAAUUACACACUUACCUGGGACCUUUCUCUGGACCCAGGUGCAUCCCAGUUGCUCAAACUCAACAACAACCUUGGUGGGCAGGUGACCAUGAUCAACCUGGAAAAAACAGGAGUUUCACUUUCAAUUUCUAAUUCAGAAAUUCUCUCCCACUCUCUUAGGUGGGCUGACAGUUACAUCUGAAAGGAAUUUAAUCUUAAAAAAUUACUAGUUUUCUCACAACUUGAUCUGAGUUAUAAUUAAUGGUUUGGAAAUAUUGGGAGAGGGCACCUCUUUUGAUGAGUAUAGGCUUUAAGGAUUAAUAACUCAUCCUGUAAAUUUUUAAUAAAUUAUUA